CCUACGGGAGGCUGCAGUGGGGAAUAUUGGACAAUGGGGGGAACCCUGAUCCAGCAUGCCGCGUGUGUGAAGAAGGCCCUCGGGUUGUAAAGCACUUUCAGUGAGGAAGAACGCCUGGUGGUUAAUACCCAUCAGGAAAGACAUCACUCACAGAAGAAGCACCGGCUAACUCCGUGCCAGCAGCCGCGGUAAUACGGAGGGUGCGAGCGUUAAUCGGAAUUACUGGGCGUAAAGCGCGCGUAGGUGGCUUGAUAAGCCGGUUGUGAAAGCCCCGGGCUCAACCUGGGAACGGCAUCCGGAACUGUCAAGCUAGAGUGCAGGAGAGGAAGGUAGAAUUCCCGGUGUAGCGGUGAAAUGCGUAGAGAUCGGGAGGAAUACCAGUGGCGAAGGCGGCCUUCUGGACUGACACUGACACUGAGGUGCGAAAGCGUGGGUAGCAAACAGGAUUAGAUACCCCAGUAGUC
rnacentral:rRNA from 1 species